rnacentral:rRNA from 1 species
CUGCAGCUCAAGUGGUGAUCGCUAUUAUUGGGCCUAAAACGUCCGUAGCCGGUUUAGUAAAUGCCUGGGGUAAAUUGUGUAGCUUAACUAUACGACUUCCGGGUAGACUGCUAAGCUUGGGACCGGGAGAGGCUAGAGGUACUCCUGGGGUAGAGGUGAAAUUCUGUAAUCCUGGGAGGACCACCAGUGGCGAAGGCGUCUAGCCAGAACGGGUCUGACGGUGAGGGACGAAGCCCUGGGGCGCGAACCGGAUUAGAUACCCGAGUAGUCC